UGAGCAAUCUGCCCUUCACAUCGGAAUAACCAUUGGAAACGAUGGCUAAUACCGAAUAUGACUUCGGAUCGCAUGAUCUGAAGUGGAAAGCUCCGGCGGUGAAGGAUGAGCUCGG
rnacentral:rRNA from 1 species